rnacentral:rRNA from 1 species
CACGUAGGCACCAAGCGUUGUUCGGAUUCAUUGGGCGUAAAGGGUGCGUAGGUGGCGCGGUAAGUCGGGUGUGAAAUCUCGGAGCUUAACUCCGAAAUUGCAUUCGAUACUGCCGUGCUUGAGGACUGGAGAGGAGACUGGAAUUCAUGGUGUAGCAGUGAAAUGCGUAGAGAUCAUGAGGAAGACCAGUGGCGAAGGCGGGUCUCUGGACAGUUCCUGACACUGAGGCACGAAGGCCAGGGGAGCAAACGGG